UUAAAUCCAACAGGAGUUGGUUGUGUCGGGUUUCUUCGGAGGGGUACGCUAUUAAAAUAUCCACAAACAUUAUCUUUAAUUGGACAGAAUUUUGUGCUUGUGUGCGUCUGCGAGCGUGUUUUUUUUUCGAAGCCAGUGACGAUUCGGUUUUUUCGAAACUUGAUGACUGUUAUCAUUUGUGUUUAGUGUGUGGUGAUCGCCUGUGAUUUUCUAUAGUUUAACUCGAAGAAUAAUAUGACUCGUUUAGACUCGAUACAGGAACCAGUGUUGUGAUUAAAAAUGACAUCGGUGACGUAAUAUUGGCGCGGCGAAAAUCGAAAUCGACUAUCGACGAAGUAAAAUUGGAAAAUGAUGCCACGUGCUUCGUAAUUGCUGAAUCGUAAUGCAUGGAUCGUUAAUUGAUAGGCAAUUAUCUUUCUGUCCUGUUCUUUCUAAUUGCUGGCAAUAAUAAAUUUGAUUGCUACGCCUUACUUCUCUAGUGCUGUACCCGAUCUGUUACAAAUAAAAAAAAACCUUUCGAUUCCAAAUUCGAAUUCGACCAAUCAACGAUUUUUCAAAGAUCUCGAAGGGAAGGACCAGUGUACGAAAAGACCAGUGUAAAAUAUAGAAACUAAAUAAAAUUUUGUGUGACAAUAUUGUGGUGUUAAAAAAAUAUUUGUGAAAAAGUGAUGCUGUGUGAUAUCGCGUGAUUUCAACAAAAACCGCUAACCCAGCGGCCCCCUACACAAAAAGACCAUAAAAUCCCUCAAAAUUACUCGAAUUCAAUCCCCCAACAGCAAACCAACCACCCUGAGUUUCACAGAUCCGUUUGGGCCUCCCCAGUCUUCGGACGGGGGGGGCCCAUCCACUCCCCAGCCGGCCCUGACCACCCAAGACUCCAUAGACCACCAACACCAUCAUUUAGGGGGCUCCCAAACCCCCCAUGAUAUCUCAAACUCGAAUAACUCAACGCCAACAAAUGUAUCUUCGAAGUCUGCUUUCAUAGAGUUGCAACAACAUGGGUACGGUCCUUUUAAGGGGGGGUAUCAGCACCCCCACCAUUUUGGGAGCCCAGGGGGUCAGCAGAAUCCUCACGAGGCCUCAGGGUUCCCCAGUCCUAGGUCGUUAGGGUAUCCUUUUCCUCCGAUGCACCAAAAUACUUAUGGUUAUCACUUAGGGUCCUAUGCGCCGCAGUGUGCCAGUCCGCCUAAAGAUGAAAAAUGCGGCCUCUCCGAUGACCCAGGGCUCCGCGUGAACGGCAAAGGCAAGAAGAUGCGGAAGCCACGCACGAUAUACUCCAGUCUUCAACUGCAGCAGCUGAACAGAAGGUUCCAGAGGACACAGUACCUUGCACUGCCUGAGAGGGCGGAACUAGCUGCGAGCUUGGGAUUGACGCAGACGCAGGUGAAGAUCUGGUUCCAGAACCGGCGCAGCAAAUACAAGAAGAUGAUGAAAGCGGCUCAGGUGGGCGCCCCGCCGCCCAGCCUCGGCCUCCCGCCCAGCAGUCCGCCCAACAACAACCAGUUACUACAUGGUGGAGGCGGCAGCUCAAGCGGUUCCCAGCACUCCCCCUCAGCGUACCAGAGUGGGGGCCCGGCGCAGGCUCACUCUCCCACUCCGAGUUCCACCCCGGUGUCGGAGCUCUCCCCCGGCCUGUCACCCACCGGGACUCCGUGGGAUGUGAAGCAGCCGCCGCAGCAGUCUUGGGAUGUCAAGGUCGGAUAUCCGACGGCAGGCCGAUCACCGGACGGCAGCUCGUGUGAUGUGAAACCGCCUCAUCAACAAUCUUGGGACCCGAGGGUCGGAUAUGAGGGUUAUUUCGCGCCUCAAACGGAUGACAUAGAAGGAUCGCCAGGCGCCGAUGGCAUGAGGGGCCGACCUAUGCCUUGGAUGUUGAAGGGCGCGCCGCCCGGCCCCUGGGACAUGAAGGGCGCGCACGCCGCCCACGCGCUGCAUCACCAGGGAGCCCCGCAGCCGCAUCCGCCCUAUGUGCCCCAGUACUCCUGGUACCAGACCGACGCCAACCCUGGCUUACUUACCCUUUCGCAGUCCACUGCUGGACAUAGGCCCCUACAGAAAUGGGGAAUGAAUCACCACGCUUGGCAAGCGGGCUGGUGACUGCCGUCUUCUUGUGACACUUGGUGUCCGUGUCACAAUGUUCCUGGUAGCAGCCCGAUGUUCCUGGGUCAGUCAGGUAUGGCCCGCAGUUUAACAGCCCUCGCACAAACACAAAACUAACUAAAUUGUAAGUGUAUGUAUAUUCACAACAAAAUGGCGGACAGACAUGACAGCCAUCACAAAAUGGCGUCGUAUUAAUGGCGCGAAAGCAUCGGCACAACCAACUUUUAUUUUUAAGCAGAAUUAUUUAAUAGUAAUAAUGAAAUCAUUGUAAAUUUUUAUAAUUAAUUAUAAAUAGGGAAUAAAUUGUUCAUAAUGGUUACUGUAAAUGUAAUAAAUAUGUUAAUAAAACAGAUAUUGGUGGGUCAGAUGAUUAAUGGAAACCUAAACAUAUUUAAAUAUUUUUUGCCAAUAAAUAAACUUUCUGUCUCAAUAAAUCAGUUUUUAGCAACCAAAAAUAAAUUUUAUAUUUAUUGCACAUUCCAUUAAUUUUAAAAUAUUUAUUAUAUUUUCUUCUAAGAAAUAAUUCGUUGACCCAUCAAUAAACUAUUCCUAACAAUAACGUAACGUUUUGGAAACCCGAAUAAAAGAUAUCAGCCAAUCAAAUAUCGUGGAUCCUAAAACGCACGUUUAUGAUUGGCUGAUGAUCACGCGGCACUCUAAAAUGGACGAAUCACGUUAUUUGUCAAAUUUGACAAUGACAGAUGUGAAUGUGUUGGCUCUUUUAGUUUACCUUUUAGUUUCCCGGAAGAAUGAAUCUUUUAAAGUUAUAUCUCAAGAUUUUAAUAUCUUUUGUUGAAUUUUGCCAUAAUUUCUGAUCUUACAAAUGGUUGCAAUUGUUACUAUAAUUUUCAGAAGUCAACGGCAAAAUAUAAAAUUAGUUUUUUUGGAAAUUCGUGAUUUUCCAACUAAAAAUGUUUGCAAUAUUCGCUAGAUACAAUUUUUUCAUAUAUUCUUUGAAAAACUUAUUUAAAAAUUGAAACUAUAUUGGUCAGCUGUAAGUAAUAUUAUUAUUUGAAAAAUUGUAUUCGUAAAUUAAGCUUUAAUCAUUUUUAUUUAUUUAGAAUUUUGGAAAAAUAAACUAUCAAACGGGAACACAAAACCAGUCUGUUGUGAUAAAUAAUUUUAAGUUUUUUUUUUUAUGUAGAACAAUAAUUUUGAUUUAAAAAAAAUGUAUUUAUUACAUUUUUGUGCAAAAAUAAUGUGUUCUGAAUGCAAAAAAGAGUUUUGUUUUAAGCUAUAAGUAUAUUUUUAUUUUUAAUUUCAACUGCAAUUUCUUUAUUACCUGUAAAACAAUACAGUCUAUUCAUUUUUCUUACAUUUUUCAAAAAAAUAUACUUUAUUUUUUUUUCAUUAUUUUAUUUUGCAAUAAUAACUAAAGUUAUAUGGAUAGACUGUAUUUCGAUAUAUCUUUAUUUCUAGAAUGGGUCUUUACGGGAUGAAAAAUUUUGUAAAUAUUUUUUGUAAUAUAUAGAAAAAUAAACUAUACAUAUAAACAUAGGUAGCAUAAUUACUUUAUAACUACAAUGUAUUAUAAGGAAAGCGGAAAUAAGAAAAAAAAGUGAAUUAAUUUCUUUUGUCAAAUAAAAAGAGAAAAAUAUUAUUA